rnacentral:pre_miRNA from 1 species
GCGUUCUAACGCGUUCGACGAGUGCAGUGGACAUAAAGGUUGCCUUUGUCUCAACUGCACUCGUCGAACGCGUUUGAAC